rnacentral:rRNA from 1 species
GGGAAAUCUUACCGGGUCCGGACGUAUCGAGGAUUGACAGAUAGUUAUACAUGCCCUACAAGCAAGUAGGAGUCAGGUUUUAAACCUAAUGGCUCUUUCAUGAUUAUAUGAUAGGUGGUGCAUGGCCGUUCUUAGUUCGUGGAGUGAUCUGUCUGCUUAAUUGCGUUUCAAAUUUUUAACCGAGGACCGGGUUUUGGUUUGGCUAGUGGUCCUACGAUGACUGUGAACUGUCAUGUCUUCGGAUGUACGACUAUCGGUCUAGGAUCACAUGACUUGCCCCUGGGACUCUUUUGAACGCAACGGACGUGAUUGCAACCCCUUGUUGAGAUUAGAGAUAGUCUCGAUAUUCACUGGCUAAACUGGCUGCUUUAUGCAGUCUUGUUGAAUGGUGGAUAAACUCGGGGGACUGCUGACUAUAACCAUUUCUCAAAACAGAGGAAGGUUGCGGCAAUAACAGGUCUGUGAUGCCCUCAGAUGUCCCGGGCUGCACACGUGCUACAAUGAGUGGCGCAAUGUGCUAAUGUUUUAAGGGAUAAGCGUGCGGCCAGUAGAACGUCGGCAAUUGCCCUGGCGUCUUCUACCGCACGAUUAUCAGCCUUCCCUUAACAGGGCGGGCAACCUUUUCAAAAUACCGGUUUGAUGUUAAAGUAUAGAGUCGUUUUUUUUGGAUGG